rnacentral:rRNA from 1 species
GACGAACGCUGGCGGCGUGCUUAACACAUGCAAGUCGAGCGGUAAGGCCCUUUCGGGGGUACACGAGCGGCGAACGGGUGAGUAACACGUGGGUGACCUGCCCUUAGCUCUGGGAUAAGCCUGGGAAACUGGGUCUAAUACCGGGAUAUGACUCCAUGACGCAUGUUGGUGGGGGUAGGAAAGCCUUGUGCGGCGUAGGGAGUCGGGCCCGCGGCCUAUCAGCUUGUUGGGUGGGGUGANGGCCUACCAAGGCGACGACGGGUAGCCGGCCUGA